ACCCCAUUUUUUUCCACGUUUUUUUCUGUUGCUUUUCUCACACACACAGCCGCCGCCGCCGCUGCGUCUCCGAGUUGACGCCACCGGCGCCGCACCGACUCCUCCCGUUGUCCUAUCCCGCAGCCACCGCCGCCCGCUCACCAGGCACGCCUCUCUGCUCCGCCGCGCCGGAGCCACGACAUCGCUGUGUCCAUGCUGUCGGCGAGCCGUUCCUCGCUCGCCGCACGCCGCCAUGUCCACGCUGUCGGCAAGCCAUUCCUCGCCGGCCAGGUCGAUGCUACCGCCACGCCGGGCAGACAAUGGAUUCAUCACCGAAUCAUAGAAAAAUCGGGUGUUAGCCACUGCAUCACAUGGCACCCUGAACUCCUGCCGACUGUGCCUCUUUACGCAUCUCUGGGAAGCUCUUUGAUGGUGUGGUUCCUGACAUGAUCUCCCAAUUGUACAGGGUUGCGGGUCAGAGUAGUGUUAAUGACCUCAAGGUGUCUGCAGAGGUGUCUAUGCUGCUCAUAAAUACUAUCUUGACUGAGAUCGAGAAUGGAAUAUAUCCUAAAGGAUCAUUCUAAAAAAAUCCUAAAGGGUCAUUCUUGAAUGUAGAUGUACCAACAGAUGCUGCACACAACAAGGGGUACAAAAUUACGAAAGAAGUUACCAGACAGCAAACAUGGACGGUGAAAAGGACAGUGAACUAGCCGCACCAUCAGAGAAUGACCUAUUCAAGAGAGUGCUAAGUUAGCAUUUCCAAAUUUCAUGCUAAUGUUCUAAUCACAUGUGAACUGGAUCUCAUAGGAAUCCUUAAAGAAAGAUACGACAGAGGAGGACUGCGGCCGUGUCAUCCAUGGCGGCCGGCACAUACGGAAGCCGGUCGCAUCCUCCUCCCAGAUAUUGAAGCUGUCGUCGUCCCACCCCACCCCCAGCCGCGCCUUGCCUCCUCCCUCCCCCAACUGCGCCUCGCCUCCUUCCUCCCCUGACCGCACCUCCUACGUCUGCCUCCACGCCUGGCCGCCUCCGUUGUCAUGUCGUUUGGGCAGCCUAGCUCCGACGGGCUCAGCUCGACGCCAGUGACGAAGGGCAUCAGCGGCACGAACCCACGUAGCCGUAGGGGAUGGAGCGUGGCCGGUGUGACGGAGAAGCGAACGUUGAGGUGAGUCGGCGCUGAGCAGAUCUAGCGAACGUCGGUGUGGAGGGAAACAACAAUACGGGGAGCCAUCGCUGGAGCACACCAAGCAAGGAGGGCCAGCGCCAUCGUUUCCGACCCCAGCAAACCCGACGCCGCCGUGAUGCCGCCUACGCAACCCUGGAGAGGGCCGGGGCUCCAUCCACUCGGCCGUGGACUUGAGACAAAUUGGCUUUGGAGCCUCAGAUCUUCUCCUCCCGUGCCUAGGCAAGGCCUUCUAUUGUUCCGUUCCCCAGCGUGCUCCAAUGUCCAAGAACACAGGAAAGAAAUCAAUUGACUGAGGUAAGCAUUGUUGAUUUCUUAUAUCAAGGAGGACUACUAAUUAAUGUGUUAUUUGUAACCCUGUUACCUUUGACAUUUGUAAUCCCUUUUGUGAGAUGGCUGCUGAUUACCAUACCGCAACACCACAAGCGCAUGUGUUGGACUUUACAAAUGAGCAUGUGUCUUUGUAAAUAUCUUGCUCUUUCAGUGUUUGCUGCUAAACUUAAUUGCCAUGCCCUAUUUCUGACAUGGAGCAGCUGAGAUUUGUUCAGACAUAGCCCCUUAGCUCCUCAGGUAAUUGCAAAACUAUUUGAGAAUGAUGCACACCCAUGCUAUCCUAAUUGGAAUAUUUAAAUUAAAGAAUGCUCACUUGCACACUCCUUAGCUCUUAUAAAUUUAUUUGUAUGCAGCAGAUGAGGGUGAUAAUGUUCUGUCUAAUUGGUUCUAGAGAGUCAUUACAUAUGCCUACACUGGGAAGAAACUAUUACAAGUGUGCUUUCUCUUUGUUUGUGCCAUUGAAUACUGGAUUGAACAUUGUAUAGUUAAAAAUUUCUUCUUCAAAUUUUCAUACCAUACAGAUUGUUAGAUUCUACUGAUGAGCUACAAUAUUUAUUUCUCUAAAUGCUUGUAGAAAUAGAUGCAUGGUUAAUUUGAGAAUUGGCUCUAACAAGCUCAGAAUGUAUUAUGCUAUUGACUAGACUAUCUGUGCUAAAUACUAAAAAAUUUUGUUAAGCAUGUGCCCACCAGUUGUACAUGUGACCAAUCAAAUGUGGGAGUUUUAAACCAUAGAAGAGUUCUGUAUAAUAGGAUGCAUUUCAAUGAUGAUGGUGGCAUCCUAAAAGACUGACUAAAGUUGAUUCUUAGAACUACCAAGCAUAGUAAAGUUUCUUAAGAUUAAUAAAUUUCUGUGAUGACUGAACUUAUAUUGUGCUUCCCUUUUUUUCCUAGCUCAAGCUUUCCGAGUUGCAUGAACCAUAUAUGUUAAUGUCAUAUAUCUUACAGAAGUUAGAGCUUAGUCAAUGUUAGUGAGCUUGGAUAGGAGGCUGCCUCUGCCUCUGCCUAUGUUUACUGCAUUCAACAUAUAUGGUGGUAAUCUGAUGCAAUUUGCAGCUUCAGAGACUAGCCAAGCCAUACUUCAAGAACCAUAACAACUAAAUUGUUGAACAUUCCUAAACUACCAGUGACACCACAGAGUGGUAGAGGGACUAUUGAUGAUGAGGAAGUUGGAAGGUGCUCAUAUUACUGUUCUUCGCAAAAGGUUAUUCAGUGGUGAACACUGCCACCAAUGCCACCGCAGUGGCCAUGGAAUGGAAGGCUGCGUCCUGCUCUCCCGCAUCACCUUUCAGGAGUAUGAAUUGAAGCUAAAGCCUAUGGUUGCUGGUGUGCAGGGUGCUAGCGGCUCAGAGAUCAUCAGCCAGUAGCAUUUCUUGGUGUUAAUCAGAGACUGUUGGACAACAAUCCAAAUGAUAUUGCCAUGUACAUAAAUUUUAGUGAUGUUGCUGAUAUCAUAUUUCGUUAUCGUAGCAUCUGUUAUUUGAGAUGGAUA